rnacentral:rRNA from 1 species
UCCAGACUCCUACGGGAGGCAGCAGUGAGGAAUAUUGGUCAAUGGCCGAGAGGCUGAACCAGCCAAGUCGCGUGAGGGACGACUGCCCUAUGGGUUGUAAACCUCUUUUAUAAGGGAAGAAUAAAUGCUACGUGUAGCAUGAUGCCUGUACCUUAUGAAUAAGCAUCGGCUAACUCCGUGCCAGCAGCCGCGGUAAUACGGAGGAUGCGAGCGUUAUCCGGAUUUAUUGGGUUUAAAGGGUGCGCAGGCGGACGCGGCAGUACAGCGGUAAAAUUGCGGGGCCCAACCUCGCCGAGCCGUUGAAACUGCUCUUCUAGAGUGGGCGAGAAGUAUGCGGAAUGCGUGGUGUAGCGGUGAAAUGCAUAGAUAUCACGCAGAACUCCGAUUGCGAAGGCAGCAUACCGGCGCCCAACUGACGCUCAUGCACGAAAGCGUGGGGAUCGAACAGGAUUAGAUACCCCUGUA